GGGUAGCAAUACCUGGUGACGAGUGGCGCACGGGUGCGUAACGCGUAUGUAAUCUACCUCUAACUGGGGAAUAGCCUUCCGAAAGGAAGGUUAAUACCGCAUAAUAUAAAGGAGAGACAUCUCCCCUUUAUCAAAACUCAGGUGGUUAGAGAUGAACAUGCGUGACAUUAGCUAGUUGGUAAGGUAACGGCUUACCAAGGCUACGAUGUCUAGGGGGUCUGAGAGGAUGAUCCCCCACACUGGUACUGAGACACGGACCAGACUCCUACGGGAGGCAGCAGUAAGGAAUAUUGGACAAUGGGGGCAACCCUGAUCCAGCCAUGCCGCGUGAAGGAUUAAGGCCCUAUGGGUCGUAAACUUCUUUUAUAAGGGAAAAAACCCCUUUACGUGUAGAGGGUUGAUGGUACUUUAUGAAUAAGGGUCGGCUAACUUCGUGCCAGCAGCCGCGGUAAUACGAAGGACCCGAGCGUUAUCCGGAUUUACUGGGUUUAAAGGGUGCGUAGGUGGACCUGUAAGUCAGUGGUGAAAGCCCGAAGCUCAACUUCGGAACUGCCAUUGAUACUGCAAGUCUUGAGUACAGUUGAGGUAGGCGGAAUAUGUCAUGUAGUGGUGAAAUACUUAGAUAUGACAUAGAACACCGAUUGCGAAGGCAGCUUGCUAAGCUGUAACUGACAC
rnacentral:rRNA from 1 species